UACGUAGGAGGCGAGCGUUGUCCGGAGUUACUGGGCGUAAAGGGUGCGCAGGCGGUGGCCCGCGUGGGCGGUGAAAGCUCCUGGCUCAACUGGGAGAGGGCCGUCCAGACGGGGUCACUUGAGGGGCGGAGAGGGGCGUGGAAUUCCGGGUGGAGCGGUGAAAUGCGUAGAGAUCCGGAGGAACACCGACGGCGUAGGCAGCGCCCUGGCUGUGAAUAAAGCUGACACUGAGGCACGAAAGCUGGGGGAGCAAACAGG
rnacentral:rRNA from 1 species